UACGAAGGGGGCUAGCGUUGUUCGGAUUUACUGGGCGUAAAGCGCACGUAGGCGGAUCGUUAAGUCGGUGGUGAAAUCCUGGAGCUCAACUCCAGAACUGCCUUCGAUACUGAGAGUCUUGAGUCCGGGAGAGGUGAGUGGAAUUCCCAGUGUAGCGGUGAAAUGCGUAGAUAUUGGGGAGGAACACCAGUGGCGAAGGCGGCUCACUGGACCGGUACUGACGCUGAUGCGCGAAAGCGUGGGGAGCAAACGGGG
rnacentral:rRNA from 1 species